AGGCGCGUCGUUCAAUGGUAGGACCUUGGUCUCCAAAACCAACGACGGGGGUUCGAUUCCCUCCGCGCCUG
rnacentral:tRNA from 1 species